GGCUUCUGCAGCUGUAGAUUCUCACUGUG
rnacentral:piRNA from 1 species